rnacentral:rRNA from 1 species
AGGACGAACGCUGGCGGCGUGCCUAACACAUGCAAGUCGAGCGAGGAAUUCACCUUCGGGUGAUGAACUAGCGGCGGACGGGUGAGUAACACGUGGGCAACCUGCCUCAUAGAGGGGAAUAGCCUUCCGAAAGGAAGAUUAAUACCGCAUAAGAUUGUAGUACCGCAUGGUACAGCAAUUAAAGGAGCAAUCCGCUAUGAGAUGGGCCCGCGGCGCAUUAGCUAGUUGGUGAGGUAACGGCUCACCAAGGCGACGAUGCGUAGCCGACCUGAGAGGGUGAUCGGCCACAUUGGGACUGAGACACGGCCCAGACUCCUACGGGAGGCAGCAGUGGGGAAUAUUGCACAAUGGGGGAAACCCUGAUGCAGCAACGCCGCGUGAGUGAUGACGGUCUUCGGAUUGUAAAGCUCUGUCUUCGGGGACGAUAAUGACGGUACCCGAGGAGGAAGCCACGGCUAACUACGUGCCAGCCGCCGC